rnacentral:rRNA from 1 species
AACGAACGCUGGCGGCAGGCCUGACACAUGCAAGUCGAGCGCCCCGCUAGGGGUUCGGCGGACGGGUGAGUAUCGCGUGGGAACGUACCCUUUUCUACGGAAUAUCCUCGGGAAACUGUGAGUAAUACCGUAUGUGUCCUUCGGGGGAAAGAUUUAUCGGCAAGGGAUCGGCCCGCGUUGGAUUAGGUAGUUGGUGGGGUAAUGGCCUACCAAGCCGACGAUCCAUAGCUGGUUUGAGAGGAUGAUCAGCCACACUGGGACUGAGACACGGCCCAGACUCCUACGGGAGGCAGCAGUGGGGAAUCUUAGACAAUGGGCGCAAGCCUGAUCUAGCCAUGCCGCGUGAGCGAUGAAGGCCUUAGGGUUGUAAAGCUCUUUCAGGGGGGAAGAUAAUGACUGUACCCCCAGAAGAAGCCCCGGCUAACUCCGUG